AGUGAACGCUGGCGGUAGGCCUAACACAUGCAAGUCGAACGGCAGCACAGUGAGAGCUUGCUCUUACGGGUGGCGAGUGGCGGACGGGUGAGGAAUACAUCGGAAUCUACUUUUUCGUGGGGGAUAACGUAGGGAAACUUACGCUAAUACCGCAUACGACCUACGGGUGAAAGCAGGGGAUCUUCGGACCUUGCGCGAUUGAAUGAGCCGAUGUCGGAUUAGCUAGUUGGCGGGAUAAAGGCCCACCAAGGCGACGAUCCGUAGCUGGUCUGAGAGGAUGAUCAGCCACACUGGAACUGAGACACGGUCCAGACUCCUACGGGAGGCAGCAGUGGGGAAUAUUGGACAAUGGGCGCAAGCCUGAUCCAGCCAUACCGCGUGGGUGAAGAAGGCCUUCGGGUUGUAAAGCCCUUUUGUUGGGAAAGAAAAGCAGCAGGUUAAUACCCCGCUGUUCUGACGGUACCCAAAGAAUAAGCACCGGCUAACUUCGUG
rnacentral:rRNA from 1 species